GGGGCCACCCGGGGAUUGAACCCGGGACCUCUCGCAAUUUUUUUUUGUCGACUACCAAAGCAAUCAACAAACUCAGGGUGGACCCUAAGCGAGAAUCAUACCACUAGACCAGCGGCCC